CCUACGGGAGGCAGCAGUGAGGAAUAUUGGUCAAUGGGCGUAAGCCUGAACCAGCCAAGUCGCGUGAGGGAUGAAGGUUCUAUGGAUCGUAAACCUCUUUUAUAAGGGAAUAAAGUGCGGGACGUGUCCCUUUUUGUAUGUACCUUAUGAAUAAGGAUCGGCUAACUCCGUGCCAGCAGCCGCGGUAAUACGGAGGAUCCGAGCGUUAUCCGGAUUUAUUGGGUUUAAAGGGUGCGUAGGCGGCCUUUUAAGUCAGCUGUGAAAGUCUGUGGCUCAACCAUAGAAUUGCCGUUGAAACUGGGAGGCUUGAGUAUGUUUGAGGCAGGCGGAAUGCGUGGUGUAGCGGUGAAAUGCUUAGAUAGCACGCAGAACCCCGAUUGCGAAGGCAGCCUGCCAAGCCAUGACUGACGCUGAUGCACGAAAGCGUGGGGAUCAAACAGGAUUAGAUACCCUAGUAGUC
rnacentral:rRNA from 1 species